CAUUAUUGAAUUACUUUGAAGCAGGUUGUAGCUGGCUUUUAGGAGCAUGUGCACACUUGUUAUCAUUUUAACCACCUGUGCACUUAUUGUAGACUUGUGAUACCUUUCAAGCAAAGAUAUUGCUUGGUUCUGAAGCUUGCUGGAUUUUGUCUAUUCGGCUUUCUUUACAUUUCACAAGUCUAUGUUUUUUUCAUAUACCCUUUAAUUUUGUAUGUCUUUGAAUGUUAAUUUUAUGGGCUUUGAUGGCCUUUAAACUUAUACAACUUUCAACAACGGAUCUCUUGGCUCUCGCAUCGAUGAAGAACGCAGCGAAAUGCGAUAAGUAAUGUGAAUUGCAGAAUUCAGUGAAUCAUCGAAUCUUUGAACGCACCUUGCGCUCCUUGGUAUUCCGAGGAGCAUGCCUGUUUGAGUGUCAUUAAAUUCUCAACCUCUUCAGUUUUUAUUAACAGAUGAGGCUUGGAUUGUGGGGGUUGCAGGCUUCAAUUCAAGAGGUCAGCUCUCCUUAAAUGCAUUAGCAGAACCUUUGCAAACAAAACUGGUGUGAUAAUUAUCUACGCCAUUUGUUGUUGUGAAAUACAGUUCAGCUUUCUAAUGGUCCAUUAAUUUGGACAAUUUAUUUUGACUAUUG
rnacentral:rRNA from 1 species